rnacentral:rRNA from 1 species
GACGAACGCUGGCGGCGUGCUUAACACAUGCAAGUCGAACGGAAAGGCCCUGCUCUUGCGGGGUGCUCGAGUGGCGAACGGGUGAGUAACACGUGAGUAACCUGCCCUUGACUUUGGGAUAACUUCAGGAAACUGGGGCUAAUACCGGAUAGGAGCUCCUGCUGCAUGGUGGGGGUUGGAAAGUUUCGGCGGUUGGGGAUGGACUCGCGGCUUAUCAGCUUGUUGGUGGGGUAGUGGCUUACCAAGGCUUUGACGGGUAGCCGGCCUGAGAGGGUGACCGGCCACAUGGGGCCUGAGAUACGGCCCAGACUCCUACGUGAGGCAGCAGUGGGGAAUAUGACACAAUAGGCGGAAGCCUGAUGCAGCAACGCCGCGUGCGGGAUGCCGGCCUUCGGGUUGUAAACCGCUUUCGCCUUUGACGAAGCGUGAUUGACGGUAAUGAGUCAAGAAGCACCGGCUAACUACGUG